rnacentral:rRNA from 1 species
AGUUCGGAUUGUAGGCUGAAACUCGCCUACAUGAAGCUGGAAUUGCUAGUAAUCACAGGUCAGCAUACUGUGGUGAAUACGUUCCCGGGCCUUGUACACACCGCCCGUCACACCAUGAGAGUUGAGAAUACCCGAAGCCCAUGUCAAAGUGGUCGAAGGUAGGCUUGAUGAUUGGGGUGAAGUCGUAACAAGGUAAC